rnacentral:rRNA from 1 species
GGGGAAUUUUGGAUAAUGGGCGAAAGCCUGAUCCAGCAAUGCCGCGUGAGUGAAGAAGGCCUUCGGGUUGUAAAGCUCUUUUGUCAGGGAAGAGACGGUGAGAGCUAAUAUCUCUUGCUAAUGACGGUACCUGAAGAAUAAGCACCGGCUAACUACGUGCCAGCAGCCGCGGUAAUACGUAGGGUGCAAGCGUUAAUCGGAAUUACUGGGCGUAAAGCGUGCGCAGGCGGUUUUGUAAGUCUGAUGUGAAAUCCCCGGGCUCAACCUGGGAAUUGCAUUGGAGACUGCAAGGCUAGAAUCUGGCAGAGGGGGGUAGAAUUCCACGUGUAGCAGUGAAAUGCGUAGAUAUGUGGAGGAACACCGAUGGCGAAGGCAGCCCCCUGGGUCAAGAUUGACGCUCAUGCACGAAAGCGUGGGGAGCAAACAGGAUUAGAUACCCUGGUAGUCCACGCCCUAAACGAUGUCUACUAGUUGUCGGGUCUUAAUUGACUUGGUAACGCAGCUAACGCGUGAAGUAGACCGCCUGGGGAGUACGGUCGCAAGAUUAAAACUCAAAUGAAUUGACGGAAAGGUGGCCGAAACCCCG